AAAAUAUUUCUAAAUAGGUUCAGGUUCUGCAAAUUGUGAAAUUUGUUCCAUUAUUGCCCUUCCAACCCCAAACCCACCACCGUCUUCACCUACCUCGGCGGCGCGUCAAUGGAGAUGCACCAAGCCCUCACGCACUCCGACGCUGCUUUGAACACUUCAAUCAUGGUGAUGCACAGCUCUGAACACUUCAAUCGCGAUAAGGUUCACCGGUAUGAGUUGUGUAGCAGACGCUUGGAGCUCGUCGGUGUGAGCUUGAUGUUGUCGAGGGGUCUCAAAAUCAACAGCACCAGCGAUGAAGAAGAAUAUCGAAACUGUUGGGUCUGAAGUUGGCUUGCCGAAGUUGAUGGUUACCAAAGCACAGUGUGUCUCGUCGGAAUUUGUUUGGCUGGGCUUAAGGCUGUUGUGGUGAGGUAUUCUUCUAAAUGGCCCUUUAGUGUUUGAUGUUUCAUCUUCUGUGAAGAAGCAUUUGGUGCGGUAUUCUUCUAAAUGAACCUCCUGGUCGAUGCUUGUCAAAAUAGGACUUUGAUUGCUUAGAAAAAUUGCAGAGAUGGAAGGCCAAGGGAGGAUCUACGGCGGCGGGUGAGGACAAUAGCCUCCUUCUGUGUACUCUUCCGAAUGAAAAAGCUUGUUUUUAGGGUUACAUACUAUAUAUAUACACACACACACAUAUAUAUAUAUAUGCGACGGAUCUAGGAUCUUUCACUUUUGUAUUAGUCACUGUAACUGAACUUACCAGCCAAACAAAUUCCGGCAAGACACACUGAGCUUUGGCAACCAUCAACUUCGACAAGCCAACUUCAGACCCAGCAGGUUCGAUAUUCUUCUUCAUCACUGGUGCUGUUGAUUUUGAAAACCCUCGACAACACCAACUCACACCGGUGAGCUCCAAGCGUCGGCUACACAGCUCAUACCGGUGAGCCUCAAGCAUCGAGAACUCCAUCGCGAUUAAAGUGUUCAGAGCUGUGCAUCAGCAUGAUCGAAGUGUUCAAAGUGGCGUCAGAGUGCGUGAUGGCCUGGUGCAUCUCCAUUGACGCGCCGCUAAGGUAGGUGAAGACGGUGGUGGUUUGGGGUUGGAAGGGCAAUAAUGGAACAAAUUUCACAAUUUGCAGAAUCUAAACCUAUUUGGAAAUAUUUUACAAAAUAGGACUUCUCUAGCUUUUUGAAAAAUUUGUAGAACUUAUUUGUCUUUGGGUCUAAAAAGUAGGACUUAAUAGGAAUUUUUCCCCUUUUUUUUGGGCGCAAUUCACUGUAACCCUCAGUCCAAAGGGUGUGUUUGGCUGAAAAAUGUCUCAUAAAUCAAUUUUUUGGUCUUUUUUUUUGGGAA